rnacentral:sRNA from 1 species
AACCGCCGCGGGGAUGGGCCCGAGAGCCUCACUGCACUCGUGUACUCAGCUGAGGAAGAGCCCAGGGUGGCCCCUACCAAGGUGUGGGCCAAAGGGGUCUCAUCCUCAGAGAUGAACGUGACCUGGGAACCCGUGCAGCAGGACAUGAAUGGUAUCCUCCUGGGGUAUGAGAUCCGCUACUGGAAAGCUGGGGACAAAGAAGCAGCCGCGGACCGAGUGAGGACAGCAGGGCUGGACACCAGUGCCCGAGUCAGCGGCCUGCAUCCCAACACCAAGUACCAUGUGACCGUGAGGGCCUACAACCGAGCUGGCACUGGGCCUGCCAGCCCUUCUGCCAACGCCACGACCAUGAAGCCCCGUGAGUCUGUCUGCCUGGGGUGGGGGUAGGGGAAUAUGUUGGAGGGUGGAUGCCUCUGAGAUCACUCCUUCCCCGAUGAUAAGACAAAUGCUCUAGCCCACCAGCUCUGGGCUGAACAGAAACUAGGCAGCGAGCCUAAUGGAAAUAAGGGAAUGGAAUUCAUGGCCCCUGAAGCAUCUCACACUUCUCCAACCUUUGGAUUUUCAUGGGCUUUGUUUUGUAGGCAUGGGUGACAGAAUGUGCUGGGUGUAACUGCUAGAGGCAAACAUCCAGAGAAGGGCUGGCUACAGGUGAGGGGGUGCGGGGUGCCAGGGAAACGUUUGGACAUCUCUCCAAUUCUUCCUCUCUGGCAGCUCCGCAGCGACCUCCUGGCAAUAUCUCCUGGACUUUCUCAAGCUCUAGUCUUAGCAUUAAGUGGGACCCUGUGGUCCCUUUCCGAAAUGAGUCUGCAGUCACCGGCUAUAAGGUGAGGAAGGGAUCAGCUAGGCCCAGAAUGGGAAGGAACAGCUCCUCUGUGUUUCCAGUGAACGUAAGAUCUGAGUGAGACAUAAGCAAAGGGUUUGUGACUGUGAGAGGAAUGAAAUUCAUGAACGAUUCUCUCGGUAACUUGCAGUAGAAACUAUAAAAACAGGCGGAGAUGGUAUCACUGCAGAAAGGCAGAGUUCACAGGGGCAGUGAUGGACUAUGGGGAUGGAGUAUGGGGGUUCUUCUAGCUUAAGGAGUCUACAGAAGCAGUUCAGUGGCCUGCAAGCUUUCCUCCACCAAUGAGGAGCUUUGUCAAUGGGGAGGAGGGGUGAGGAGGCUGGACCUCAAGAGCCCAGAACCAUCGGGGCUCCUCCCAGUACCUAAAGCUGGGGAUGACUCAACGAUCAGCCCUGGUGUCAAGAAACUCCUCCUUCCUACAGAUGCUGUACCAGAAUGACUUACACCUGACUCCCACGCUCCACCUCACCGGCAAGAACUGGAUAGAAAUCCCAGUGCCUGAAGACAUUGGCCAUGCCCUGGUACAAAUUCGGACCACAGGGCCCGGAGGGGAUGGGAUCCCUGCAGAAGUCCACAUCGUGAGGAAUGGAGGCACAAGCAUGAUGGUGGAGAACAUGGCAGUCCGCCCAGCACCACACCCUGGCAUCAUCGUUUCCCACUCCGUGGCGAUGCUGAUCCUCAUAGGCUCCCUGGAGCUCUGAUCCUGGAACCCCUCCCUCUGCGCCGCAGCUGGACGCCACUGCCGAUGGACACAGCCAGCCGGCCCCUUCCUGCUGCCAAGGUGGCCUGACACUGUGCCAGAGAGUGGCUGGUUUUAAAUACCUACUUUAAACAGUGCCCUUUUUGUAGGAGGUAGGAUAUUUUAUAUUCUGCCGCAGGAUAGAACCCACGCAAGGAUUUUCUUUAAAUCGAGAGGCACCAGGCAGUAACUUCCAUGAUGACACUGACACCUAUACCUGAGCUCUAGGCUGCCUGGAGGAAAGGAACAGGCCCAUGGGAAGAAGGGGGUUUUAAAAACAUGUCUUCAACUCAGCAGAGAUGGCACUCUGGGACCCUAUAUGGACUCCGCCACUUGAGAGCAGUCCUAGGCCGGGCAGGAACACCAGACAUGAACAGGCUGAAGAACUGGGGCGAAGUGCACGUCACCAUCCUUCAGUCCAAGGAAGAAGGGCAAGCCCUGGGACCAAGAACUCUCCUACCUUCUCCCUUGAGCAGCAGCAAGGACCCUGACGCUGUCCCCGAUGACUCCCUAGGGGCUCCUGCCUGCCCAAGUGGCUGAGAACCAGCGCCCCGACGCCUGAGGCUGGGAGCCUGAGCCCCUUCAGCUUUGAGGGGGGUGAUACUCCAGGCUGCUUGGGGUGGGAGCCAAAAAGAGUUGAGAGGCCAGGGCCCUUGGUGGAAAGGGGCACCAGCCUCGGUCUGAGAUAGUCACAACCCAGGUGACGUUGCCUUCUCAGCCAACACUGCCAACCUGACCCUGUCAUCCCCAGAUUGACAGCGCCACUUCAGGUGGCUGGGUGACUAAAGGGCUUGUCUUGGUGGGGUCUCCCACCUCUCCAAGACCCAUCCUGCACAGUCCCUCCAGGGUUUGGGCAGGAGAUGGCAAAUCAUGCGCCCACCUCUCCCUCCAGCGCAGCCUGCAGUCAGCUCGGCCUCCCCGACCUGCAGCCCCAAACUCUGCUCUCCCAGCACUGACUCACUCCUGCCUGGGAGGGGAAUGCAGCAUUCAUGCUGUGUGUCCUGGAAUU